UUGCUUCUCCCUUUCCCUUCCCAUGCAAGUGACCCUGAUCCUUUACAAGACGUCUGUAUUGCGGACUUGAAUGCCCCCAUCUCUAUCAAUGGUUUCCCCUGCAAACCUGCUUCAGAAGUAACUUCUGAUGAUUUCUUCACUGAUUUUUCCAAAAAUCCGACCACAUUUGAUGUCUUUAAGCGUGCAGUUACACUUGGUGAUGUUUCUGGCUUUCCAGCGGUCAAUACUCAAGGAGUUUCACUCUUCCGAAUUGACCUGGAUGUAGGUGGAAUAAACCCACCUCAUACACAUCCUCGUGGAACUGAGGCUGGCAUUGUUACUCGAGGAAAUCGAGGAAAGGUGCUUGUUGGAUUAGUAACAACUAAUAAUACCUUUUUUCUCAAAGGUUUUGACUCCCGGGAUGGUGUUCUUAAUUCCCAGAGCACUGAUUCACUUCCAGCUAAAUGUUGGAAAGGGGCCGGCCACCUUUAUACCUAUUUUCAAUACUCAAAAUCCUGGCGUUUCGGACUCACUCACUACUCUUUUUGAUACAACACCCCCAAUUCCCAAGUCCAGCUAGGUUAACACCCUGGAUGCUUGAUCAAUAUGCUUUGGUGUGCCAACAUAUAUAUACUAAUAAAUGCGAUUUAUUUUAUGUUACAAUUAUUGAAUAAAGAAUAAAGUCGAGACGACCAAUAAUUAUUGAAUAAGGAAAGUGUGAUUUUUUUUACCUCAUUUCUUCUUCUUUAACUUUUGAUUUUUCCAUGGCAUUAUCUACGCAAUUUGUUGCUUCCAUCGGCCUCGUUCAUUGGUAUUUCCUUGUAGGCUUCAAACAAUCUUUUAUAAUCGGAAAUUCCAUUCGUGUAAUUUCAGCCUCUCAAUAUCCAUUAAUGGUACCCGUGCAAUAAUUAUUGAAUAAAAAAUGUCUAAUACUUUUUAACUUUUUUAUCUUAUUAUUUUUUUCAUGGAUCAUUCUAUUUGAUACCGGGAUAAAAUAAUUCGAUAAAUAUGUCAAAGAAUAAAAUUACCGGUUGAAUAGAAAACAUACUGAAGUCAAACCCGUUCAUUGCUUUAUUAUUUUUUUGUUCUCCCUAUUCAACCGAACCAAUUGAAAUUGAUAGUGACGAUUACGUGGAAUAUUUGGGGGGCCCGAAAUAAGCUAUUAUUCGGAAGGCAAGUUAGUUCACCACAAGCCAUCUAUGCACGGGCUCAAAGAAUUUUCGAAUCUUUUUGGGGUUGUGGUGUGGCUAUUCUUGAUUCUAAUUUGACCCAUCCCCACAGCAAGCUCCACCUGCCCGCCAACCAUCUCCUCCACCUUCCCAUCCAACCACCGAACCAGACAUCCCAGUUCCACCUCCCUCUCAACACAGCAUGACUACCCGAGCCACGAAUAACAUCACCAAACCGAUUCAAAAACUCAACCUUCACACCCACAAACCAAAUUCCCAAAAUGCUGCUCCUACAUCUAUAUCACAAGCUCUCAAAGACCAUAACUGGCGUCAAGCUAUGUCCGAAGAGUAUUGAUGCACUUGUUCGUAAUGGAACCUGGGAACUAGUUCCCCCUGAUGGCAUCUCUAAUCUGGUUGGUUGCAAAUGGAUUUUCCGAAUUAAAAGACACUCUGAUGGUUCUAUUGACAGGUUCAAAGCUCGCCUUGUAGCUAAGGAAUUUCAUCAACUGUUAAAGCAGCUCACUAUUCAAGCAGCUUGGUAAAGCCACAUCAGCAGAAGGUUGUUAGUGAUGAAUAGCAGCUCAGCGUGAUUAGUUAAGUGUUAGUAAUCCAACUCAUAAAAGUUAGUUAAUUAGUUAGUGAGUUACUUGUAAUUCUCACGUGUAAGGGAUGAUAUAAAGUCUUGUACUGAUCUGUAAAACAUUUUAAGAAUUGAAUCUUAUUGAAUACAAGUAUUGAGAAUUUUCUCUGAGAUUUUCUAUUCAACCAAACAGCAUAUCUCUGUUUUCUUUCAUGGUAUCAGAGCCACAAAUGGCCAGCUCAAGCAAUACAAUCUCAAAUCAAACAAUCAUAAACUUAAAUCAACAUACACAAACAUCAUUUACUUUUGCUGCAACUGUAAAACUUGAUCGAUCAAAUUUCUUACUUUGGCACAAACAAGUAGUAACUUCAAUCAGAGGAAAUCGCCUUGAAAUAUUCAUUCUAGAGCCGCAAGUUAUUCCAGAACAGUAUCUAGUUGAUUCAACGAUCGAAAGAUCUGGUGAGAGCAUUGAAAAUCAAGCCUACAGCAACUAGAGAGCACAAGAUCAAAUACUCCUUGGCUGGCUGCUCUCAACUAUAAGUGAAGGUAUUCUUAGUUCUGUUCUUAGCUAUGAUACUUCAUUUUAUGUGUGGAGAUCCAUUGAAAAACAGUUUGGAGUUCAAUCUGAGGCUAAGAUUAUGCAACUCCGAUAUGAAAUGAACAUCUUAAGAAAAGAUUCAAUGAAUGUUGAGGAAUAUUGUGCUAAAAUGAAAUUACUCGCCAACAAACUUGCUUGUGCUGGUGAUGUAAUUACUGAAAAGGAUCUGUUAAUGAGAGUUUUGAAUGGUUUAGGUUCAGGAUAUCUAGAUCUAGCUUCCAUAAUCACUGCAAAUAAUAUGAGCUAUGAUGAUGCUUAUGCAUUGUUACUGACUCAUGAAGCUAGACUUGAACAAAAUCAAAGUGCCAAAACUGUGUUUAAUGCAAACUAUAGCACAAUGAAUGUGAAUCAUCCCUAUAUGAGAGGAAAUUUUAGAAGAAGUGUUGUUGGAAAUGGAAAUUAUGGUCGUUCUGUGAAUAGAGGAUUUAAUGUUGGAAGAGGCAUGUUUCACAAUCCAUAUCCCAGAGGUUUUUCACCUGGUGUUGGUAAUGUUGGGGGUUAUGGCAGAGGCCAGAUGAUGCAACCUUUUAGGCCACCUAUGAAGACAAACUUUCAUCCUUCAGCCAACAUGCAUGCUGAUGAAUUACCAACCAUAUGUUAGAUAUGCCACAAAACAGGACAUGCAGCAGAUGAAUGCUGGCAUAGAUAUGAUGAUAAUCCUCAACCAUCACCUAGGCAUUUUGGAAGGGGCAGAUCUUUUGGAUCUAAGGCUGCAUACACAGCUAACUUUGAUCCAUUUAUCAAUUAUGCUACUCCUUCAACUGAAGAACAAUAUACUGCACCCUACUCAGGCUACAAUCCUUUAUCCUACUCCUCUUAUCCAUCAACAGACACAGUCAUUCCUGAAGCCUACCUUACCAACUAUGAAUGGCCUGCUGAUGAAGGGUGGUACCUUGACAGUGGUGCCACACAUCACUUGACCAACAGUAUGGCUAAUAUGAAUGUUAGAGAGGAAUUCAGAGGAUCUGAUCAACUUGUCAUCGGCAAUGGCCAAGGUUUGCAUAUAACUCAUAUUGGUAAUGCAUGUUUUACUUAUAAAUGAUCAAAUGCUGCAUAUAAACCAACACAUAUCCUACUUAAAGACAUGUUAUUAGUAUCUGAUAUCAUAAAGAACUUGCUCAGCAUAUCAAAAUUAACUACUGACAAUAAUCUAUGUAUUGAAUUUAUUGGUAAUGUUUGUUAUGUGAAGGAUUCUCUGAAGAGGCAAGUGCUUCUGACAGGAAUUGCUGAGAAAGGAUUGUAGAAGCUGCUUCUAAGACCAUCUGAGUCUUUUCCUUAUUCUUACUUGUGCCAAUCUCCCUCUACUCAAUCUUUGUCAAUGUUGUCUGCCUGUUCUUUUGAUUUAAGUGUUCUUAAAAACACUCAGAAUAAUGAUUCCAGUUGUGUCCCAGUUUGUAAUGCAUCAAUCAAUAAAUUUUCCAGUUACAUUUCAUCUUGUGAUGCAUUGAAUAAUAAAAUUCUUCUUCUUCACAGACGUUUUGGCCAUCCUAACUCUCAAACUCUAAUGCAUUUGCUAAAAGGAAUUACUUCAGUUAAUCUCUCAAGAAAUAACAUAAAACAAACACUUGAGAAAAUCUGUGAAGCAUGUCAAAUGGGCAAAUCCCAUAGGUUGCAUUUUUCCAGCACAGAAACCAAAACAACAAAACCUCUUGAGCUUAUACAUACAGACCUAUGGGGACCCUCACCUACACCUUCUAGAGACAGCUAUGUCUAUUACAUAAGCUUUGUUGAUGAUUUUAGCCGAUACACUUGGAUUUACCCUCUUAAGUUGAAAUCUGAGGCAUUAGAUGUAUUCAAACUAUUCAAAUUGCAGGUUGAAAACCAAUUUGACACCACCAUUAAGAACCUGCAAUCUGACUGGGGGGGAGAAUACAGGUCAUUUACUCAAUUCUUAAACCAAUGUGGAAUCAUUUUCAGACAUUCUUGUCCUUAUACACAUCACCAAAAUGGGGUGGUAGAAAGAAAACAUAGACACAUUAUUGAGCUAGGACUAACUCUAUUAGCACAAGCCAAGCUACCAUUUAAAUUUUGGUGGGAUGCCUUUCUUACAGCUGUUUACCAUAUAAAUAGAUUACCCUCAACAGCUCUGAAACUCCUUACUCCAUAUGAGACAAUUUUCAAACUUAAACCUGAUUACAGCAUGCUCAAGUGUUUUGGUUGCACAUGUUAUCCUUACCUAAGGGAUUAUAGCAAACACAAAUUUGAUUAUCACUCAAGCAAAUGCAUUUUCCUUGGCUACAGUCCAGUCCACAAAGGUUACAAAUGCUUGCAUUCAUCAGGCAAAAUGUACAUAGCCAGACAUGUUGUUUUUUAUGAGUCAACAUUUCCUUAUUCUACAGACUCAGUUUUUCAUUCUAAUGAAUCAUCAUCUUAUUCGAGUCAAUCCCUUACACCCCAACAAGUAUAUCAUCUGACCACAUUAUCUACAACACCAGUGUCCAAUGUAAACAACUCAUGCAAUCCUCUAUAUGCAAUUUCUACCAGCAGCAGUUCACAACAUUCAGAUAAUCCAUCUCAUACUGACAAUCUGUAAAGAAGGAAAACAAUAUUUGCCUUUUUAAUAAUUUUAUUGAAUCAGGAGACGUAGCUUUAUACAAGAGAUUUCCUACAACCAUGCUAAUCUAUUCUAGGUAGUCUAAAUAUAAAAGGCAACUGAACAAAUAUACAACUAAUACAAUAUAUUUGUCAAUGAAUGGUCAGAUAUCAUUGACCUUUCCUUCUCAACACAAUCAGCAUUCCUAUUCACAAACACAUAUCCCAUUCAUUGAACCAUCUAUAGAGCCUCAAAUUUCACCACCUCAACCUACACCUGACAUAUCCUUACCAGCUCAACCUGCACCUGACAUAUCCUUUCCAGUUCAACCUAAUACACAUUCAAUGACUACCAGAAGCAAAGCUGGUAUCUUCAAACCAAAGCUUUAUACAGCAACCCUUGUUCACCAAGAACUUGAAUCUGUAUAUGAAGCUAUGCAAAACCCAAAAUGGUUUACAGCCAUGAAAGAAGAAUAUGUAGCUUUGAUGCAGAAUGGUACGUGGUCCUUAAUGCCAAAAACAAAUGAUCAGAGAGUUGUUGGAAAUAAAUGGGUGUAUAGGGUUAAAUACAACACUGAUGGAAGUGUAGCUAAAUACAAAGCUAGGUUAGUUGCAAAGGGGUUUCAACAGAUUAUAGGAGUGAAUUGUUUUGAAACUUUCAGUUAUGUCAUAAAACCAGCAACUGUAAGAGUAGUCUUGAGUCUAACUGUGAUGCAUCAGUGGAAGAUAAGGCAAGUUGAUGUGAAUAAUGUCUUUCUCAAUGGAGACUUAACAGAGGAAGUGUUCAUGGAUCAACCAGAGGGAUUUAUCAGCACUGAGAAACCAGAUUUUGUAUGCAAGCUUCACAAGUCUCUUUAUGGACUUAAACAAGCUCCAAGAGCUUGGUAUGAUAAGUUGAAAGGCUGUUUGUUGCAGUGGGGAUUUACAAAUUCCAGCUCAGAUACCUCCUUAUUCUUGAAAAUGAAUAAGUCAUCUGUGAUCCUAGUUCUCAUAUAUGUUGAUGACAUCUUAAUAACAGGACCAAAUAGCUUGGAGCUGGAAAAUUUCAUUACAGAAUUCAGUACAAAGUUUGCUUUAAAGGAUCUUGGAGCUCUUUCUUAUUUCUUAGGCAUUGAAGUACUGUAUGAUACAGAUUGUAUUUUCUUAUCUCAAAAGAAAUACAUAAGGGAUUUGCUGUCAAGAGUUGAGAUGAUCAAUUGCAAAGAUGUUGAUACUCCUAUGAGUACAGGAAUGAAGCUACAGAAGGAAGCUCAAGGUAAUCUUGGUCGUUAUGUUGAAGAUGUAACACAUUAUAGAAGCAUUGUUGGUGGGAUGCAAUAUUUGGUAUUAAUAAGACUAGAAAUUGCUUUUAGUGUUCACAAGCUGAGCCAAUACGUUUCUGCACCAACACUGCAGCACCUUAUGGCUUGCAAAAGGGUGCUCAGAUAUCUACAGGCAACACAGGACUAUGGACUCAAAUUUAUCAAGGAUGGUGAUCUGAAACUAACAGGCUUCACAGAUGCAGACUGGGCAGGGGAUCUGGAUGACAGAAAAUCGGUUGCAGCCUAUUGCAUUUAUCUUGGUCAUAAUCUAAUAUCUUGGUCAUCUAAGAAGCAGCCUGUCAUUGCUAGGUCUAGUGCAGAGAGUGAGUAUAGGUCCCUAGCCACGGCAAGUGCAGAGAUAAGCUGGCUGCAAUCACUGUUCUCUGAGUUGAGAUUACAAUGCAUAGAAAAACCUAUUAUUUGGUGUGACAAUCUUAGUGCAACAGAGUUAGCUCACAAUCCAGUUUUCCACUCAAGAACAAAGCAUAUUGAGAUUGAUAUUCAUUAUGUUAGAAACAAAGUUCUUGCUGGAGAACUAAAUAUUCAAUACAUACCAAGUGAGGAGCAGGUAGCUGACAUUAUGACCAAGCCACUCUCAUUCAUUCGUUUUAACUAUCUUAGGGCCAAACUCAAUGUCAUGUCUUGUCCUUUGAGUUUGAGGGGGGCUGUUAAAGCAGUUCACUAUUCAAGCAGCUUGGUAAAGCCACGUCAGCAGAAGGUUGUUAGUGAUGAAUAGCAGCUUAGCGUGAUUAGUUAAGUGUUAGUAAUCCAGCUCAUAAAAGUUAGUUAGUUAGUUAGUUAGUUACUUGUAAUUCUCACGUGUAAGGGAUGAUAUAAAGUCUUGUACUGAUUUGUAAAACAUUUUAAGAAUUGAAUCUCAUUGAAUACAAGUAUUGAGAAUUUUCUCUGAGAUUUUCUAUUCAACCAAACAACAUAUCUCUGUUUUCUUUCACCGGGUGUGGACUAUCAUGAAACUUUUAGUCCAAUUGUCAAGCCUACCACAGUGAGACUUUGCUUAGUAUAGCAAUAAGUAAUGGCUGGUCUCUCCGUCAAUUGGAUGUCAAUAAUGCCUUUCUUCAAGGCAGACUCUCUGAAAAUGUCUUUAUGGCUCAACCACCAGGUUUUGUGGACCCUGAUCAUCCCUCAUAUGUCUGUAAACUUCAUAAAGCCAUCUAUGGUCUCAAACAAGCUCCCCGGGCUUGGUAUCAUGAAUUGCGUCAGUUUCUACUAGCUUCUGGUUUAAAAAAUUCACACUCAGAUACCUCUCUUUUUGUUCUUCGUAGCAAUCAUGUUCUGUAUCUUCUUGUGUAUGUUGAUGAUAUUGUCGUAACUGGCAGCAAUGAUGCUCUUGUUUCACAGUUUGUUGAAUGUCUUUCUCAAUGUUUCUCUCUUAAAGAUCUUGGUUCACUCUCUUAUUUUCUUGGAGUUGAAGUUGUUCCUCACCAUCUUGGCAUUCAGCUCUCCCAAAGAAGAUACAUUCAGGACUUACCCCAACGAACCAAUAUGGAUAAUGCAAAACUUGUUCUCACUCCCCUACCAACCAGCUCAGCAGCCAUCUCCUUAACCUCAGGCACACCUCUCUCAGACCCCACACCAUAUCGUGCAGCAGUUGGUAGCCUGCAGUAUCUUUCCUUAACACGCCCAGACAUCUCUUUUGCAGUCAAUAGAAUGGCCCAAUUUAUGCAUCAACCUACUACAGAGCAUUGGGUUCUUGUUAAGCGUAUAUUGCGUUAUUUGAGUGGCACACUAGACAAGGGGCUUCUUCUCUAUCGUGAUUCUCCCCUCACUCUUCAUGGCUUCUCUAAUUCACUUCAUGCCUUUUCAGAUGCGGAUUGGGCUGGUAAUAAAGACGAUUACUCUUCCACCAGCGCUUAUCUUGUUUACCUUGGGCGGAACCUUGUCUCUUGGAGUUUGAAGAAGCAACAAACUGUUGCUCGUUCAUCCACCGAAUCAGAGUAUCGUUCUAUUGCUGCCACUGCUGCUGAACUUCGCUGGGUUUGCUCUCUUCUUUCAAAGCUUGGUAUUGGCUUAACAAAUUCUCUAGUGGUCUAUUGUGAUAAUGUUGGUGCUACCCAGUUAAGUUCCAAUCCUAUUUUUCACUCUCGCAUGAAACAUGUUGCUGUUGAUUAUCAUUUUAUCAGAGAUCAAGUUCAAUCUGGUCUACUUCGAGUAGCUCAUGUCUCCUCUGCUGAUCAGCUUGCCGAUCUUCUCACCAAGCCACUUCCCACUUCUCAGUUCUUGCUUUUACGAGACAAGAUUGGCCUCUGUACUCGUGGCCUAUCUUGAGGGGGCAUAUAAAAGCAUUCACAACUGCUGGUGUAUAACAGCCUCCGCAAACUGCUGGUGUAUAACAGCCUCUACAAUUCAAAUUGGUUUUUUAUUUUUUGAAUGUAAUCCCGAGGAUAUUUCUGUUAAUAUAUCUUAAGAAUAGGUCAGCUUGAUUAUUGUUGAAAUAUAGGAGGAAGUUAGUGCUUUAUGUUUUGAUUCAUUGUAUUAUUUAUACGUGUUGAUCCUAAUGGAAAAGAUGAGUUUAUUCAAUUAUCAAUCUCUUUAGUUUUGUUUGAUGAGGUUGAUAUCACUGAGGCCGAAUCCUUGCGCUUUGGUUUACGGUUCGCUAGUGCAGCUGGUUUAUUUUGUUAACAGUUACAGUCAAAUUUGCUUCAAGUUAUAGAACUAUUUUAGAUCUUUUCUGACGUGUUUUGAGUUAUUUCUGAGCUGAAGCAAUUGCAAUUACCAAAGCAUUCUUUUUGGGUACGCCAUAUCCCAAGGGUUUGCAAAUGCAUUAGCUAAAUAUUCUAUGUAUUUUUUUAUUCUUAUAUUUGGUGGGAAGAUUUUCCACCACAUUUAAAUUGCUAACUUUGAGUGUAUUAUGAUUCUGAUUCUAAUGAAGUUUUUAUCUCACCACCCCCUCCCCCCCAAAAAAAAUGAAAUAAUAAAAAUAACGAAUAACCUAUUUAGGUCCCGUUUGGUACAACUUUUCAAGUAGAACUUAUUUAAAUAGAGCUUGUAUAAAAAAAAAAAAAAGUUGUUUAAUUGUCAAUAAAAACUUUUAUUAAAAAUUUAUAAAAUUACUUUAAUAGACAAGUUUUUUAAAGUUAUGUUAUGAAAAAAAUAAAAUAAGAUUGUCAAAUAAGUAGAGGAUAUUUUAGAUAUUUUCUCAUUAAAACCCAAAAUUUGAGCUUUUGUUAAUAGAGGUAAAAUAACUUAUUUAAACUUCAAAAGUUCUAUUAGAAAAACAACCAAACAACAACAAAAAUUAUUAUAAGAGCUUAUGUGAUUAAAUAAGCACUUAUGGUCAUUGAAGAAGUCAUACCAAACAAUCACAUAGUACUUAUAUAUUAUUGAUUGUAAUUUAAAAAACAAAUAGUUUCUAAAAUUAGAUUUUAAUUUUUAUAUUCUAUUUUUGCAUUUAUAACGUACUUUUUUUCCCGGUAUGUAUGUGAUAAAAAUACUCUGAAGUUAUUACGAUACAUUCCUCAUUCUUGAAAACGUACUAGUUCGCUAAAGCUUACAAAGGAAAGAAAUUGGUAUCAACCCUUUUAGGAACCUUAAACUUUUUAUAAACUGAUUAUCCUUUACCUCUAAUUUGAGUUGAAAAACAAAUUAAAUCGUUUUUCUAUAUUGAUUUUGGUUUUGCAGUUGCACUUUAUUUUAUCCGUAGAACAUGGAUGAAGGAAUCAUAUCAUGAACUCCAAAUUUACGCAACAAUUGAUGCUCUUGUAACCCAUUCCCAAUUUAUUUGAUGCUCUUUUAACUCAAUUUAUUUGCUAAAAAAAUUAUUAUUUUUAUCAAAAUUAUUUUUUAAAAGUUACAAUUAGUAAACAUUAUUAACUUUUGUAUUUUAGCUAGAUCUUUUUGACUUUCCAACAAUACUAAACAAAGCCUUGCACAGGCAUACAUUGUAGUUGAAACAUCACAAAAUCUUAUUCCAUAAUUUUUACUAAAAUAGUGUUUUGGUAAUUUUUAAAAAAAAAUCAUUCAUUUCAUAAUUUUCUCUAUUUUGACAACAACAUUAUAGAUUUUUUAAAAAAUAGUUAUAAAAUAAUUUCCUAUAUAAAUUAAGAAUUAUUUUUUUAAACUUUAUGUAAUAAUCUUAUUAUUUCAAUAAAAAGGUAGUCAUCUCCUAUUUUUUCCUUCAGCUUUUUUUUUUUCAUUUUAUGUAAAUUUGAGUGUUCCAAAAAUGAAACAAAAAUGUGUUUAGACAACUCAAGCUUAUGUAUAUAUUUUGGUAGUUACACAAUGAAACUCACAGUACUCUUAGUAAUAAAGUUUACUAACACCUAAUUACUUUUUUGUGUAGUUGAUUAUUUUAUAAGCACGCGAAAUCUCUGUCCCUUAGCGUCUCUCCUAGAUAGUUGUCUGGAUGAGUUUUGAUGACUACAUUUUGUUCUUCUACUUUGAUAAAAACGACUCCGUCUUCUUCUCGUCCAACUUAAUUAAUCUAACAAAUUACUAAGAGGAUGCAACUUUGAUAGUACUGAAUUUCAAUACCAAACAUAUAUUCUCUCUUCAACACAAUCAUUAAGGCAUUUCAAACGCUUGGCAAGCAAGGCUAGCUUGUGCUACCAAAGAUACAUUUUGGAAUAGCUUCAAGAUAUUAAUAUUUUGUUAAAUGAAAUUUGGUGUUAUGUUGAUGAUUUUGAAUAGGAGGAACUCGCGCCAAUUUGUAAUUUAUUCACGAAAUGUUGCUUGCACGUCUCAAUAAAUCCAUUUUUUUUUUUAAAUAUCAAUUGAUUUAUAGUUGGAUUAAAUCACAUACGCAAGCGUUAGAUUAACUUUGUUAAUGACUCUGGAAUGUAUUAAGAAAUCUAAAAUUGUUUGAUGAUAUACGUGUAUUAAGGAAAGAGUCAAGUUUGGCGGUUGAAUAGCUCGGGAUCAACGGCCAUGUCAAAGUUAAUUAAUAAACCCAAGCAUUUCUGCUGAUCACAAUUAAUGGAAGGGAUCGAUUGGCUAUCACACUACUCCGCAGUUGACAUUGAACUUUGUCAUUGAAGUAUGUCUUCUUCAAACAUUCCCGCAGAAGGUUGUGUGUCAAUAUUUGACCACUAUGAAAUUACCGCGUAUUCAUCGACUACACAUCUCAUUAUUGAAUGUUGCAACUUAUGAUGUAGGAUGGUUGCAUAGGAUGAGUAGAGUAUUUUCCGGAGGUCAUAAUUUAGUUUCAUGUGUCCAUUUUGGGGGUCAUAAUUUAGAUAUUCUACUUCUUUCAUGGUUGUUUUAUUGUUUGAAGUUAUUUUCUUAUUUUUCUGCUACUUCCAAAGUUUUUAUUUUUAUUUUUUUUAGAUGUCGGAUUUAGGUGUCAUUUGUUUUGUUGUCCUUAUUUAGAUUAUAAGAAUUUUAUUAUAAAAUAAUAUUUUAGAUUUACCUAUUUUAGUAAAUUCACGAUAUUUAGAGUUAUUAUCAAAGGGCCCCAAAACCCCUAAUUUUGUCCAUUCAAACUUUUGCAAUAAAAAUUGCAUUAUUUAGAAACAUAGUUUCUUUUUCAAUCCAACUUUUAUGCAUCAUCAACUUAAGUUUUAAAUUGCUUUUGAUUCAUUAGGAAGGAAAUCAACUUUCUAUGAUUAAUCUAUUAAAUGAAUUUUGUGUUUAACAUAUACACUCUUAAACAAUAAAGUGAACACUUUUCGAUUCCUGAUUAUAUUGACAAAAUAUAUCAUUCUAAUUCCAAAAUUAUAUAUAUAUAAUUUUCCAUUGAUUAAAGUGCAAAAACUCUCAUCAGAUAAAACACUAUAAGCUAUCCCUUUGUCACUAAGCCAAAACAACAAGACAUUAUUCUGGUUCAUUAUCAUUCACGGUUGCAAUGCCCAGGUGAUAUCAUGUACCAAUUUAAAAAUAUUCGACACGCUUUAUAUCCAUAAGUCAAUAAGCCUUAUCGAUGGCCAAUUCUUCGGCAUUAAUAUUUUACUAAAGUCAAAAAGUCAAUAAGCCUCAUCUGCUUAAUCUUUGGUUAAUCACGCUUUGAGAUUCCAAGGAGUAGUAUAAAUAGAUCCAACACCUUCCAUCCAAUCCACCAACACAAAAAGACCUGCAGACAUUAAUUGUGUAAUUUAGAUCUUAACAGCAGCCAGCCAUGUAUUCUUCUUCAUCAGUGUCACUCUUUGGGCUGCUAUGCGGCUUGGUAGUGUUACUGAUUCUCCCUUUCCCUUCCCGUGCAAGUGACCCUGAUCCUUUACAAGACGUCUGUAUUGCGGAUUUGAAUGCCCCCAUCUCUAUCAAUGGUUUCCCCUGCAAACCUGAUUCAGAAGUAACUUCUGAUGAUUUCUUCACGGAUUUUUCCAAAAAUCCGACCACUUUUGAUGUCUUUAAGCGUGCAGUUACGCUUGGUGAUGUUUCUCGCUUUCCAGCGGUCAAUACUCAAGGAGUUUCACUCUUCCGAAUUGACCUGGAAGUCGGUGGAAUAAACCCGCCUCAUACACAUCCUCGUGGAACUGAGGCCGGCAUUGUUACUCGAGGAAAGGUGCUCGUAGGUUUAGUAACAGCUAAUAAUACCUUUUUCUCAAAGGUUUUGACUAGCGCUGAUUCACUUCCAGCUAAAUGUUGGAAAGGGGCCGGCCACAUUUAUACCUAUUUUCAAUACUCAAAAUCCUGGCGUUUCGGACUCACUCACUACUCUUUUUGAUACAACACCCCCAAUUCCCAAUAAAGUGUUGACCAAAUCUUUCCG
rnacentral:lncRNA from 1 species